CCUAGGGUUAAUUUUAUGAUGAAUUGAGACGUCCUCCCGCCUGCUUGGCCGCCACCCCUUGCUCCUAUAUAAAUAGAUCAAUCUAGUAGCUUUUUGUUGGGGAUUUGUUAGUUAAAAGUGGCCAUUGCAACUUCGUGUACUUCGCUUGUGUCCAACGACUAGACCAAGGUCACUUUCAGAUCCCCACCUUUAUCAUUACUUCAUAUAUAUUCACAAUAUUCAUAUUGCUUUUUAUCAUAUUCUUACUCGUUCUUCAAUUACUUGAAGGAAUAGACCUUCGUGGUCAGGUUGAUCGUGCUUCGGCGUGGUGAUACGU
rnacentral:lncRNA from 1 species